rnacentral:rRNA from 1 species
ACUCCUGCGGGAGGCAGCAGUGGGGAAUAUUGCACAAUGGGCGCAAGCCUGAUGCAGCCAUGCCGCGUGUAUGAAGAAGGCCUUCGGGUUGUAAAGUACUUUCAGCGGGGAGGAAGGCAAUACGGUUAAUAACCGUGUUGAUUGACGUUACCCGCAGAAGAAGCACCGGCUAACUCCGUGCCAGCAGCCGCGGUAAUACGGAGGGUGCAAGCGUUAAUCGGAAUUACUGGGCGUAAAGCGCACGCAGGCGGUCUGUCAAGUCGGAUGUGAAAUCCCCGGGCUCAACCUGGGAACUGCAUUCGAAACUGGCAGGCUUGAGUCUUGUAGAGGGGGGUAGAAUUCCAGGUGUAGCGGUGAAAUGCGUAGAGAUCUGGAGGAAUACCGGUGGCGAAGGCGGCCCCCUGGACAAAGACUGACGCUCAGGUGCGAAAGCGUGGGGAGCAAACAGGAUUAGAAACCCUAGUAGUCCCAUG